GAUGAACGCUGGCGGCGUGCCUAAUACAUGCAAGUCGAACGAAACUUCUUUAUCACCGAGUGCUUGCACUCACCGAUAAAGAGUUGAGUGGCGAACGGGUGAGUAACACGUGGGCAACCUGCCCAAAAGAGGGGGAUAACAAUUGGAAACAGGUGCUAAUACCGCAUAACCAUAGUUACCGCAUUGCAACUAUGUAAAAUGUGGCUAUACUGGCGGUUGUGGAUGGGCUGGCGGCGUAUUAGCUAGGCGGUAGGGUAGAGGCUUACCAAGGCAUUGAUGGGGAGGCGGCCUGUGAGGGUGACCGGCCACACAAGGUCUGAGGGACGGCCCAGACUGGUACGGGAGGCAGCAGGGGGGAAUAUUGCAGGAUGGGCGGAAGGUGGAUGAAGAAGCGCCGCGUGCGGGAAAACGGCCUUCGGGUUGUAAACAGCUUGCGCCUGUAACGAAGCGUGAGUGACGGUAAUGGGUAAAGAAGCCCCGGCUAACUACGUG
rnacentral:rRNA from 1 species